AUUGAACGCUGGCGGCAUGCCUAACACAUGCAAGUCGAGCGGAUGAAUGGAGCUUGCUCCUGGAUUCAGCUGCGGACGGGUGGGUAAUGCCUAGGAAUCUGCCUUGUAUUGGGGGAUAACGUCCGGAAACGGGCGCUAAUCUCGCAUACGUCCUGAUGUAGAAAGUGGGGGAUCUUCGGUCCUCACGCUAUCAGAUGAGCCUAGGUCGGAUUGCCUAGCUGGUGGGGUAAAGGCCUACCAAGGCGACGAUCCGUAACUGGUCUGAGAGGAUGAUCAGUCACACUGGAACUGAGACACGGUCCAGACUCCUACGGGAGGCAGCAGUGGGGAAUAUUGGACAAUGGGCGAAAGCCUGAUCCAGCCAUGCCGCGUGUGUGAAGAAGGUCUUCGGAUUGUAAAGCACUUUAAGUUGGGAGGAAGGGCAGUAAGUUUAUACCUGGCUGUUUUGACGUUACCAAAAGAAUAAGCACCGGCUAACUUCGUG
rnacentral:rRNA from 1 species